UACGUAGGGUGCAAGCGUUGUCCGGAAUUAUUGGGCGUAAAGAGCUCGUAGGCGGUCUGUCGCGUCGGCUGUGAAAUCCCGGAGCUCAACUCCGGGCCUGCAGUCGAUACGGGCAGACUGGAGUUCGGCAGGGGAGACUGGAAUUCCUGGUGUAGCGGUGAAAUGCGUAGAUAUCGGAAGGAACACCUGUGGCGAAAGCGGCUCACUGGACCAUAACUGACGCUGAGGCGCGAAAGCUAGGGGAGCAAACAGG
rnacentral:rRNA from 1 species